AAUAGAUACCCAGGUAGUCCACGCCGUAAACGAUGAGUGCUAAGUGUUAGAGGGUUUCCGCCCUUUAGUGCUGCAGCUAACGCAUUAAGCACUCCGCCUGGGGAGUACGGUCGCAAGACUGAAACUCAAAGGAAUUGACGGGGGCCCGCACAAGCGGUGGAGCAUGUGGUUUAAUUCGAAGCAACGCGAAGAACCUUACCAGGUCUUGACAUCCCACUGACCGGUAUAGAGAUAUACCUUUCCCUUCGGGGGCAGUGGUGACAGGUGGUGCAUGGUUGUCGUCAGCUCGUGUCGUGAGAUGUUGGGUUAAGUCCCGCAACGAGCGCAACCCUUGAUCUUAGUUGCCAGCAUUUAGUUGGGCACUCUAAGGUGACUGCCGGUGACAACCGGAGGAAGGUGGGGAUGACGUCAAAUCAUCAUGCCCCUUAUGACCGUGGGCUACACACGUGCUACAAUGGAUGGUACAAAGGGGCUGCAAGACUGCGAAGUCAAGCCAAUCCCAAUAAAACCCAUUCUCAGUUCGGAUUGC
rnacentral:rRNA from 1 species